GACGAACGCUGGCGGCGUGCCUAAUACAUGCAAGUAGGACGCUGAAGGAGGAGCUUACUUCUCUGGAUGAGUUGCGAACGGGUGAGUAACGCGUAGGUAACCUGCCUGGUAGCGGGGGAUAACUAUUGGAAACGAUAGCUAAUACCGCAUAAGAGUAGAUGUUGCAUGACAUUUACUUAAAAGGUGCAAUUGCACCACUACCAGAUGGACCUGCGUUGUAUUAGCUAGUUGGUGGGGUAACGGCUUACCAAGGCGACGAUACAUAGCCGACCUGAGAGGGUGAUCGGCCACACUGGGACUGAGACACGGCCAAGACUCCUACGGGAGGCAGCAGUAGGGAAUCUUCGGCAAUGGACGGAAGUCUGACCGAGCAACGCCGCGCGAGUGAAGAAGGUUUUCGGAUCGUAAAGCUCUGUUGUAAGAGAAGAACGAGUGUGAGAGUGGAAGGUUCACACUGUGACGGUAUCUUACCAGAAAGGGACGGCUAACUACGUGCCAGCAGCCGCGGUAA
rnacentral:rRNA from 1 species